rnacentral:lncRNA from 1 species
UCCAUUGCAUAAAGGAAAUGCAAAGGUAAGAUACUUGCCUGAUUCGCUGAUUACAAAUCUCAACUUAGGUUUUAUCUCUUUAUCACAACCUAUCAAUAAUCAGAUCAUUCGUUCGAUUAGAACAAUAUAUCAUAACACAUAGUACUGUCUAUUACAGUCAGCACAUAGUCUAAUCACGUCAUCACAUAAUCGCAGUGAUCAUACUUUUAGUUCAUAUUCUAUACUUGAAAUAUUUUUAUACAUUUUUCAAAUAUCUCAUCCAUGCUCUUACAGAAGUCUUUUCUUUCUAUUAUAGGGUCUGACAUUUGUCGGCGUACCGACAGCUUUAUCGGGUAAAUACUGAGUCUAAGACUCUUAUCCUAUACCUCAACAUCUGUAAAUAUCAAACAUUUUAUUUUUAAUCAUUUUCGAAUUUUCCAGAAAUUGAAAAAUUUAAAAUAAUUCAAAUCUGUCACUACCGGGCCUAUAGUGAUAUAACUGUUACUAUAGGUGUUCCUCAAAACUUCAUAACUUCAUAAUCGGUUCUCAAGUCAGCUAGUUUGGCCGGCUAUAACUUUCAAACAUCGGAAUCAUAAUUAAAUGAUUUAAACAUUAAACAAUUCCAUUAUCAUUAAUAAUUAAUUUAUAUUAAACUAUUAAUGAAACCAUUGCCAAAAUAUAAAAGUUAUUUAUAAUAACUCAAACUAUUUUUAAAACAUUUAUAUUACCCUUAAAUGAUUUUUAAAACAAUUAAAAUCAUUUUUAAAUAAUCACCAUUAAUAUAUAAAUAUUAAUGUACUAUUCAUCCAAAUAUUAAAAGUCAUUAAUUAUAACUUAAAAUAUUUUUAAAUCCUUAAUAUCCUCUUUAAAUGAUUUUUAAAUAAAUAAAACCAUUUUUAAACUAUUUAUUUAAUAAUAAUUAUUAAAUAAACUAAAUAUCAUUAAUAUUAUCUUAAUAUCAUUAAUAUUAAAUUAUUAAUGAAAUUAUCCUUUAAAUAUUAAAAGUUAUAUUUUAUAACUUAAAAUAUUUUUAAAUACCUUAAUUUCAUUUAAAAUGAUUUUUAUAAUAUUAAAAUCAUUUUUAAACUAAAUUAUUUAAUAUAAUCAUUAAAUAACUUUAAUAUCAUUAAUAUAUAAUUAAUUAAUGAAAUUCAUCACAAAAUAUUAAAAGUCAUGGAAAAUAACUCAAAAUAUUUUCUUAUACCAUAAAAUAAUUUUUCAUGAUUUUUCAUGAAUUAAAACUAUUUUUAAAUCAUUUAUUUAAUAUUAUAAUUAAAUAAAUAAAUACCUUUUAUAUUCCAAAAAUAUUAAAUAUUUAUGAAAUAUACUCAAAAUAAUUAAAAACUAUUUUUCAGACUUUAAAAUAAUUUUUCAUAAUUUAUUUGGUAUUUUUAAUAAUUAAAAACUAAUUUUUCUAAUUUUUAAAUUAAUUUCCGGAAAAUCAGAAAUUAAAAUAAUUAAAACUGUUGCUAAAGGCCCCUAUAGUGACAGAACCGUCGUUAUAGGUGUUCUUGAGCCUACCCAGAUCUUCAUAAGGCAGAACCGAGUGGGCUACUUUGACCGUGAAUAACUCUCUCAUCUUAACGAAAUUGGACAAUCUAUAAAUUGGGUCUUGUAGAGGAAAUACAAGACUACAAGAUCCAACAAACAUAACCUCUAAAAAACAUCAGAUCUGGGAGAAAACGAACCUCAAAGUAGCUGCCAAAGCUGUUCUUCACGAAAAACAGCUUCGAGGUGCCUACAUUGGACCUCUAUAACUUGGUGAUCGUGUAACAUUUUUGUGCUCUAUCACUUCUAGUGUGUAGACAACAUGCAGGAAUACAACUACAAACCUUAACAUCAUCAUAAUAACAUUAGAUCGAACUAGAAAUUACUGGUCAAAGUCGACCACGGACAGCACUCAAGAAAUUUCUGGAUUCGCUGGUUUUGCAGUUUUGGUCAACCCUGUUUGACUGAUUAUAACUUGUGAUCUUUAAUAGAUAUGGCCUUGAUUAUUUUUGAAUAUUAAAGACCUCAUAACAAGCUAUACAUAACAUCUUACAAACACCAAAAACAGUAAAUAACCACAGAGAUAUAAGGCUUGACAUUUGCCCAAAAAUAACAGAAUUCGGUUUUACAAAAGUUGGAAAAACUUUGAUUUUGAGCACUUUGAUGUUAUGGGUCAUGAAUUUAACAAUCCAGAACAUUAAUAGACUCUCUAUUACACAACUUUAAACAAUCAAUUGCAUCAAUUAACAUCGAAUCGAAGGAUUUCUAGAAUUUAGGAUUUCCUACCUUUUCAAGCUUGAUUUUUGAUUUCUGGCUUCUUGAUGCUUCUGAUUUGUGGUUUGUGAUGGUUGGUCUUUGAUUAUGAGCUUAUGGGUAAGAUAAUUUCGUUGGUUAGAACUUGAGAGAGUGUGGCUAGAGAGUUUAGA